GAUGAACGCUGGCGUCGUGCCUAAUACAUGCAAGUCGAGCGAACAGACGAGGAGCUUGCUCCUCUGACGUUAGCGGCGGACGGGUGAGUAACACGUGGAUAACCUACCUAUAAGACUGGGAUAACUUCGGGAAACCGGAGCUAAUACCGGAUAAUAUAUUGAACCGCAUGGUUCAAUAGUGAAAGACGGUUUUGCUGUCACUUAUAGAUGGAUCCGCGCCGCAUUAGCUAGUUGGUAAGGUAACGGCUUACCAAGGCAACGAUGCGUAGCCGACCUGAGAGGGUGAUCGGCCACACUGGAACUGAGACACGGUCCAGACUCCUACGGGAGGCAGCAGUAGGGAAUCUUCCGCAAUGGGCGAAAGCCUGACGGAGCAACGCCGCGUGAGUGAUGAAGGUCUUCGGAUCGUAAAACUCUGUUAUUAGGGAAGAACAAAUGUGUAAGUAACUAUGCACGUCUUGACGGUACCUAACCAGAAAGCCACGGCUAACUACGUG
rnacentral:rRNA from 1 species